rnacentral:rRNA from 1 species
UACGUAGGUGUCAAGCGUUGUCCGGAUUUAUUGGGCGUAAAGAGCUCGUAGGCGGCUUGUCGCGUCAACUGUGAAAACCCGUGGCUCAACCAUGUGGUCUGCAGUCGAUACGGGCAGGCUAGAAUUCGGUAGGGGAGACUGGAAUUCCUGGUGUAGCGGUGAAAUGCGCAGAUAUCAGGAGGAGCACCGGUGGCGAAGGCGGGUCUCUGGGCCGAUAUUGACGCUGAGGAGCGAAAGCGUGGGGAGCGAACAGG